rnacentral:rRNA from 1 species
GACGAACGCUGGCGGCGUGCUUAACACAUGCAAGUCGUACGGUAAGGCCCUUUCGGGGGUACACGAGUGGCGAACGGGUGAGUAACACGUGAGUAACCUGCCCACAACUUUGGGAUAACGCUAGGAAACUGGUGCUAAUACUGGAUAUGUGCUCCUGCUGCAUGGUGGGGGUUGGAAAGCUCCGGCGGUUGUGGAUGGACUCGCGGCCUAUCAGCUUGUUGGUGGCGUAGUGGCCUACCAAGGCGGCGACGGGUAGCCGGCCUGAGAGGGUGACCGGCCACAUUGGGACUGAGAUACGGCCCAGACUCCUACGGGAGGCAGCAGUGGGGAAUAUUGCACAAUGGGCGCAAGCCUGAUGCAGCAACGCCGCGUGCGGGAUGACGGCCUUCGGGUUGUAAACCGCUUUCAGCAGGGACGAAGCUUUUUGUGACGGUACCUGCAGAAGAAGCACCGGCUAACUACG